AGAUGGACAUGUGACCAAACCUGACCAAUGAGACACAGAGCUGUCUGUGGCUACUCUGCCAGGAGACAGGCGAAAGAGAUGCUAAAGCCGGGCAGCUACACCUUGGUCUCUGGGACGCCCUGGCCACCAGUGACCAGGCGGGGACAGACAGUUACAUGACCCAGGCACACAAGCCCAUGCCGACGCUGCUGGAGAAGGGGGGACGCCCUGCUGCUCAAGAAUAUGAGCCCAGAACUGCUGGGGCCACCUGACAACUGAGUGGAGGAACCUGUUGCAAAUACAUGCAGAGAAGCAGAGUGAGAUAUGGGGACACGACACUGACGGCACCUUCCGGCUCUGGAUACAGCUUGGCCUGAAGCUAACACAUUUUUUAGUUCCAUAAUUUCUUCUUCCUUUUUUUUUUGCUUAAAUUGUACAUUCUGUCCCCUCCAAUCCAAAUAAUCCUGACUCUUGUGACAAUAAAGAUAGAAUAACAAACUUCUCACACCAUUGCUGACUCGAUCCUGUGGUGUAUGAACUUCAGGAGUUACUAAACUUGGCCCCUGCAUUCUCUGGAAUGGCUCAGCAUGCAGCCCGAGGGCCACGUCACUAUCGUGAUGGCGUGACCCUCUCCAACUACCACUGACUGGCCAGAGUGGACAUCUCUCCCAAGCUAGGCCAAUCAGAGCUCUCCCCUCAGAUGUUGGACUGGAGCUACAAGAAAGCACAGACCAUCUGUGGAGACAGGAAUGGUGGGCCCCGGAGUUCCAGGCUGAGGAUGGCUCCCUCUUAGUGACAGG
rnacentral:lncRNA from 1 species